rnacentral:lncRNA from 13 species
AUGUGGAGCAAAGUAGGUGCUCAAAACAAGAGAAGUGAGAUUUUGUUCUUCCUCAGAUCACAGGGACAUUUGCAACGAGGCUGCAGCUGGGGAGGCGGAAAGGCGGCACCCCCCCCCCCACCUUGCCACAAGUCACCUGCCUUGAAGCUCCCCGGCAUGACAACUGGGGUGGGUGGAGGCAGGGAAAGAUCACGGCCGGGGCAGGAGGUCAAGAUCCCUUCCACCCACCACUCUCCCCUUCCAGGACAAAACCCAGACCGCGACGCUCCGAGACGGACAGACGGACAGAGCCCACCCGCUCCCGGGGAGUCACGGGACCGCGCCAAACGCGCGCGGCGCCCGGUAGCGGGGACCCGGCUCGGGAUCAGGUGCGGAGCGGGCGGGGCUGGAGCGGUCGGGCCGGGACAUACAGACACGCACGCGGCGGUACAGACGGACGGAAAGCGCUCGCGGUGGGCGAGUGCGGCUUACCGCUGGGCGGAGGGUCCGACGAGAGUCUGGGAGGCGGCGAGCGGGCGCUACAUCCCACGGCGCGAUCCGGCGGGCAGCGUCCCGGGCGCGGAGAGGGGAGUCCCGGCGCCCCCUGCCCGCGAACUCGGCCGGCCGGCCCGCGCCCCCCUCCCCGGCUGCCGCUCCGUCUGCGCCUGGGUCUCGGGGUCUUCCCGCGUCCGGGCCGUCCCGCGCCGCUCCCCGCGGGCCGCUCAACUUUCAGCGCUGCCCCGCGCCGCGCCCUCGGCGCCGCCUCGGCGUCAGCAUCCUCGGGCCCGGCCCGGCUCAGAGCGCGGGGGUCCGGGGGCCCGGGGCGCCCUGCCGCCCGCGCCCCCCACCCCCGCCGCAAGCGCCCUCCUCGCCGCCGUCACCCGCGCCUGCUCGUGCGCUCUGCCCCCGGCCCUGCGCUCCGCUCCCGGCCCCGCUGCGCUCAGCCCCGGUCCCGCGACCCCUCGGCCUCCGGGCCCGGGGUCGCCCUCCCCGCCCCUGCCGGCCAGGCUCUGCCACCACCUCCCCGCCCGCUCCCGCGCCUCUCUCCCGCCGCCGGGAUCUCCCCCGCGCUUGGGUCCCGGGGCCUCUCCCGGCCUCCCUGCCUCCCGCGGCCCCGCUCGCCCUCUGCCCGGGGGGUCUCCGUCUCCGUCGCGGUCGCCCGCCGACCUCCUCCCGCCUCCCUCCGCCCGCGCUGCCGCUCUCCCUGCGCGUCUCUGUCCGUCUCCCUCCCGGUCUCGGUCCUCCUCUGUCUCUCCCCCUCCCACUCUCAGUGCGGCCCCCUCUGUCUCGGACCCCGGCCCCCGCCUCGGCCGCGUCCCCGGCUCGCCCGGGAGCCCGAGCUCCCGCCGCCCGCGGCGCGCCGAGAACUCCCAACUCGCGGCACGCCGCCCCGCUUUGCGAGACUUUCGCCCCUCCUCACACGUGACCCGCGCCCCACUGCGGAGGCCGCGCGCCCCCCAGCCCGGGAGCCCCGGUGGCCUGCGGGGCCUCGCCCUGCCCGUCCCUCGGCUUCACCCGGCCUCAAGCCCCCUCCCGUGGGGCCCGCGGCGCGGAGCAGGGGCUGGGGCGGGGGGCUGCUUGCCCCGCUCCUGCCCUGAAUCCUGCCCGGGUUUUCCUCCUCGCCCCAGGAGCGCUCCUCCCAGAACCCGUUCCUGGAUCCGCUCCCGGGUUUUAUCCCCCCCAGGGGGCAGGUGGAGAGGGUUCCUCCGAGCCAAGCCGGGAAGCGGGUGGGUGAGAGCGGGUCAGUCUGGGGUCCCACGGAGUCAGGCCCCUCCCCUUGGCGGUCCUCGUACUCUCCCGAAGUACCGCUAG